CAAAGAGAAUGAAAAUACAUAGUAACACAGAGCCAUGAGAAACCUGUGAUGUCUGAUUCUGAUCACGCACUGAUGAAAGCGUAAAGUUGAAAUGAGCUGCCCAGGUUCAUGCUGCAGGCUUCGGCUGUGGAGUGGAAGCUGGAUGUUUGUUAUAGACAAGUAGGCUCCAUGUGC
rnacentral:lncRNA from 1 species